AACGCUAGCUACAGGCUUAACACAUGCAAGUCGAGGGGCAGCAUUACGGUAGCUUGCUACUGUAGAUGGCGACCGGCGCACGGGUGAGUAACGCGUAUCCAACCUGCCCAUGACUUGGGGAUAACCUUGCGAAAGCAAGCCUAAUACCCGAUACGCUUCAUAGAUGGCAUCUGAAAUGAAGUAAAGGUUUACGGUUAUGGAUGGGGAUGCGUCCGAUUAGCUUGUUGGCGGGGUAACGGCCCACCAAGGCAUCGAUCGGUAGGGGUUCUGAGAGGAAGGUCCCCCACAUUGGAACUGAGACACGGUCCAAACUCCUACGGGAGGCAGCAGUGAGGAAUAUUGGUCAAUGGGCGAGAGCCUGAACCAGCCAAGUAGCGUGCAGGAUGACGGCCCUAUGGGUUGUAAACUGCUUUUAUAAGGGAAUAAAGUGAGCCUCGUGAGGCUUUUUGCAUGUACCUUAUGAAUAAGGACCGGCUAAUUCCGUGCCAGCAGCCGCGGUAAUACGGAAGGUCCGGGCGUUAUCCGGAUUUAUUGGGUUUAAAGGGAGCGUAGGCCGGAGAUUAAGCGUGUUGUGAAAUGUAGAUGCUCAACAUCUGCACUGCAGCGCGAACUGGUUUCCUUGAGUACGCACAAAGUGGGCGGAAUUCGUGGUGUAGCGGUGAAAUGCUUAGAUAUCACGAAGAACUCCGAUUG
rnacentral:rRNA from 1 species